rnacentral:ncRNA from 2 species
AAGAUAAUUUAAGCGCCAGGACCUCAAUCUAAAGUAGACUGAGGUUGACGAGGAAGAGGGUUAUCGAACGAUUCGGCGGAUCCCUCUCGGUGGCUUGUCACCGUAAAGCUUACUUAAAACCGAAGAGCAAUUUUCGGGACAAAAGGAAAGCUGACAAGACAA